AUAUUAUAAUUUUAUGGCAGAUGUAAACACAAGUAAGAAGAUGGAUUAACUGGUUCCUGUUUGCAUAAAGAUGGCUUUGAGUUCAUUUGGGCCGGAGCUAGAGCUACACAUGGCGUAUCAA